rnacentral:rRNA from 1 species
GGCUUAGAACUAACGCUGGCAGUGCGUCUUAAGCAUGCAAGUCAAACGGGAUGUAGCAAUACAUUCAGUGGCGAACGGGUGAGUAACGCGUGGAUGAUCUACCUAUGAGAUGGGGAUAACUAUUAGAAAUAGUAGCUAAUACCGAAUAAAGUCAAUUAAUUUGUUAAUUGAUGAAAGGAAGCCUUUAAAGCUUCGCUUGUAGAUGAGUCUGCGUCUUAUUAGCUAGUUGGUAGGGUAAAUGCCUACCAAGGCGAUGAUAAGUAACCGGCCUGAGAGGGUGAACGGUCACACUGGAACUGAGAUACGGUCCAGACUCCUACGGGAGGCAGCAGCUAAGAAUCUUCCGCAAUGGGCGAAAGCCUGACGGAGCGACACUGCGUGAAUGAAGAAGGUCGAAAGAUUGUAAAAUUCUUUUAUAAAUGAGGAAUAAGCUUUGUAGGAAAUGACAAAGUGAUGACGUUAAUUUAUGAAUAAGCCCCGGCUAAUUACGUGCCAGCAGCCGCGGUAAUACGUU